AUAGGGCUAGAAUGGAACAAACAGUGAAGUGAAUCAAGUCUGUUAUCGCUGUUAGCAAGACAGCUUUUGUCUGCUAUUGAGGAUAUGAAUGUAAAGAGGAAAUACGAGAAAUGUGUAUUAGUGACGUGAGAACUGCUGCUGGUUUCCUUGAUGCACACUGCUCUUUGUCUGCUAACGAUCACCAAACAGGACCUGGGUGUUGACUGCAUUGCUGUGUGCUCAGUGCAGGGCGGGUUUCCAUCGCACCGCUCCAGCACGCCAACGCUGUGCCACUUUGCAGAAGGGAUGUGUGCCUCUGCUUUUACGAUUUCCCUUUUUCUUGCAGUUGAAUGGCUACGGUGCAUUAGGUUUUAUUACAAACCCCGGGCUUCUAGCGCCAGUGGUGCAAACCUGAGUGCUUACCUGGAUGCAGCCCAGCUUUACGCUGAUCUGACUGCGAGCUUCAGCCAAGUCAGCUAGGGACUCAUUUAUCACCCUGACGUACACGGCCCCGUAAUGACGCUGAGCGUACUGAAUUUUGAUUCCUAAAAGCCAUCCUCUAUCUGCCUUAUCUGCACGCAGUUCUGUUGCUAGCCUCCUUUUUCAUGCUCCUCUCCCCCCCCCACGUAACAAAAGCUGCCAGCAGAAUGGGACAACAGUCAGCCUGCCCAAGGCUGAGCGGCUUCCUCUAGGCAGGCUGCCACCUGAACACAAGCGACGUUCUUCCUCCGAGCCCGGAGCACGGCAGAUGGUGCAGCAACAUGCUCUGCAGCCCUCUGAAACCUCCUGGCCUGGAAGACAGGCCGGCAUGCUGGAGUCCUGGAGCGUGCCUGUGCCUGCACAGAUGGAAGAGGAAGAACAUGCUCCUGCACUCUGCAGCUCGUGAUAGAGCUCCUUGUACAAAGCUUUAUUCUGUGAGAAGUUAGGGUUGGCAGCACCGCGUCCUUACUGUCCUCAGAAUAGAAACUCAAGGGGGAAAUAGGAGGGACAAACCAAAGAGGACGCGGAUGGUUAUCCUUCCCUGUUCCAAUCCAUGGGAAAUAAAGGAGAAGCGAAAAGCUCUAGGCUUGGA